CAUCGUUGUAAGGCUGGUGUGUGUGGCACGGAGAAAGUCCGUGAGAAUGCUUGCGUCCACUAUGUGGUUCUCGAUGUACGGUCGAGAACCAAACAAACAACCAACACCCGUGUUCGCACAGGUUGUUGACGUUGUGUUUGUUUGAUUCACUUUGAUACAUCAAUAGUGUUUCGGCGGCCAUAGCGAGAGGGAAACGCCCGGUUACAUUCCGAACCCGGAAGCUAAGACUCUCUGCGCCGAUGGUACUGCAGGGGGGACCCUGUGGGAGAGUAGGACACCGCCGGAC
rnacentral:rRNA from 1 species